rnacentral:rRNA from 1 species
UACAGAGGGUGCAAGCGUUAUCCGGAUUCACUGGGUUUAAAGGGUGCGUAGGUGGGCUGGUAAGUCAGUGGUGAAAUCUCCAGGCUUAACUUGGAAACUGCCAUUGAUACUAUCAGUCUUGAAUACCGUGGAGGUCAGCGGAAUAUGUCAUGUAGCGGUGAAAUGCUUAGAUAUGACAUAGAACACCAAUUGCGAAGGCAGCUUACUACACAGUUAUUGACACUGAGGCACGAAAGCGUGGGGAUCAAACAGG